CGUACACUCCUACGGGAGGCAGCAGUGGGGAAUAUUGCACAAUGGGCGCAAGCCUGAUGCAGCGACGCCGCGUGGGGGAUGAAGGCCUUCGGGUUGUAAACUCCUUUCGCUAGGGACGAAGCUUUUUUGUGACGGUACCUAGAUAAGAAGCACCGGCUAACUACGUGCCAGCAGCCGCGGUAAUACGUAGGGUGCGAGCGUUGUCCGGAAUUACUGGGCGUAAAGGGCUCGUAGGUGGUUUGUCGCGUCGUCUGUGAAAUUCUGGGGCUUAACUCCGGGCGUGCAGGCGAUACGGGCAUAACUUGAGUGCUGUAGGGGUAACUGGAAUUCCUGGUGUAGCGGUGAAAUGCGCAGAUAUCAGGAGGAACACCGAUGGCGAAGGCAGGUUACUGGGCAGUUACUGACGCUGAGGAGCGAAAGCAUGGGUAGCGAACAGGAUUAGAUACCCUUGUAGUCCCAUG
rnacentral:rRNA from 1 species